CAAUUUUUCCUAGUUCGUAUCUCGAACGUGCUUGCGGCAUUUGUAGACACGUGCUCUGACGUUCGAGAUACAAAAUGCGCUCAGUGCUAACUUGUUUACAUCAUGAUACUUAGAAUCCGUGAUGUAAAACACAAUGCUAUUAACAAUUGUUACACUACCUUGACUUUGUAACCUUAGUUAGCAUAAAACUCUGAGGGCGUAAAACAGCUAACGUGGAAAUUUGUAAGCUUAUAAUAAAAUAAAUUUAAAUAUAGAAAGUAUCAAAAUUGUAAUCGUAACGUUGAAAUUUUAUGAUCCAAUUGAAGUAAAGGCCGACUGUGAGAGAUCGCUUUAAGAGAAAAAUCCGCCCAUUGUACUUUUAGAUAUAAGUUUUCUCAUUUACUUUUUUCAAUACAUUUUCGUUGUUUUUGUACGUGCCUUAACGAAAUAAGUGAAUUUUAUUGUAUUUCAGAUUUAUACGUAUUUCAAAAUACACAAGUUUUACUAUUAGGAAUUGAUGGGCGUUCUAAUUUGAAAAUGGUCUGCUCUUUUUAAGUUUUUCCGAAAGAGAAGCUCUUUGAAACUAGUUUUCAUUUCAAAAGAUUUUAGUAUAUUAUAUUACUAUGAGGUAGUGUAACGCUUAAAAAUCAACAUGUUUUUUACCUUCAUAGUGUAGAUGCAGAAAAACAAUUUAAAUUAUUCUUUCUGUUAUUUCAUGUAUCUGUGCUCUUUGUGGUAGAUAUUGUGACCCAAUUCAAUAUUACGAUACUAUUAUUUCCCAAUUUUUUUGUUAUUGUUUGUCAUUUAAGGUUAACACAUUUCUAUUUUAAAACGUAAAUAAAUACUAAUAAUACAUUUAAUGAUGUAAUUGAUUAAAUUAUACAAACUACGGUAACAAAGUUAUAGUAGGAAAUCGUCGUGGUCUAAAGGAUAAGAUGCCCGGUGCAUUUGUAUCAAGCGAUGCGACAGUGCCGGUGUUCGAAUCCCGCAGGCAGGUAACAAUUUUUGUAAUGAAAUAUAAUACGUACUCAACAAAUUUCACUAUUAACUUUCACGGUGAAGGAAAAACAUCGCGUAAUAAAAAUCAAACACGCAAAAAUAAAAUUUGCGUGAGUACUGGUGUUAGGACAUCUUGUGAGUCCACACGGGUAGGUACCACCGCCCUGCCUAUUACAGGCCUGAAACAGUAGUGCGUUUCGAUUUGAGGGGCGGGGCAGCCGUUGGACUGUAAAAACUGAAGCCUUCGAACUCAUGUCUCGUUGUUGAUGUCUAUGGGCCCCGGUAACCACUUAAGACCAAGUAGGUUGUGAGCUCGACAACGCAUCUUAGAAAAACAAAACAUUUAUAUAUCGUUUUAAAAAAACUAGUUUCUACAGUAAUUUCCUUAUAAUUUCAACUGUCAAAUGAAUAAAUAAUGAAGAUCAUAGGUGUGUCUUUCAUAAAUAAACAAAAACACUUAAUCAUAACGAGUACAAAGUCAUAUAACAAAACGAAAUCAUUAAAAAACUGUUAAAAAACAUCAGCGAGCCAUACGAAAAAAACUGGCUCGGCUUUAAUGACAUCGUGCUGAGAAUGGUUGUUAAAUUAUAGGGCAUCCAAACAAAAAGUGGUCAGUGACGUCUUUUCGUUUUAAUAAUAUAAUAAAUGUUUGAACUCAACUGAUGACCCGAUGCGCACGCUUUGCCGUCGACGCACGCAUCCUAUAUUAACGUUGCUACCAGGCGACCCGCUAUCAUUGUCGAUACGACUGUCGUACUGGAAGGUCGUGGCCAAGUGAUAUUCAGUGAAAAUGUAUACCAAUCCUUUCGAGCGAAAACACUCGGUUUUGAGGCAAGCACUCGACCGCUUCAUCAAGGGAGAGACGAGAUUGAGUUUUAGGAAGAAAAGUGAUUUCUCAAAGAGCAGCAAAUCGUCGGGAAGCUCUUCUUCUUUCGCUUCUUCCACAACGGAAUGUAAACAGAAAUUGAGCUCCAAGAGGUGAAGAGAACAGUUUCACUAAAGGAACCAGUGAUAACGCUUCGAAAUGGCCCAGUUCCAAGGAGGUCAAUUGCAGUAUUUGGUUCACAGUGGGAUGAAAUCGCUUUAUGGAAGUCUUAAGCAAAUAAGGAAGAGCUAGGCCCACGAUUUUGAUGACUAUUAUUGUAACUAGGAUAGUAUAAUACAUUACAUAUUGAUAUAAGAAUAUCUUCUUCAUAUUGAAGGGCUUUUAAUGAAUCAUUAAGUCCUCAAAGAUCAUCUUGAUACACUAUUAGAAACGAUACUAUGGUUAGACUAAGCCAGUGUGAAUAUUUAAGUGCACGAAAAAGCAGACAAAUAAAAGUUAUAUUCACUACUUAUGAUUCGAAUAUAUCUAGAUAAUUUGUACUAUCAAAUAUGCUAAUAAACAAUAAAUAAUUAAUCUUCAAA